UACGAAGGGGGCUAGCGUUGCUCGGAAUUACUGGGCGUAAAGCGCACGUAGGCGGCUUCUUAAGUCGGGGUGAAAUCCUGGAGCUCAACUCCAGAACUGCCUUCGAUACUGGGAAGCUCGAGUCCGGGAGAGGUGAGUGGAACUGCGAGUGUAGAGGUGAAAUUCGUAGAUAUUCGCAAGAACACCAGUGGCGAAGGCGGCUCACUGGCCCGGUACUGACGCUGAGGUGCGAAAGCGUGGGGAGCAAACAGG
rnacentral:rRNA from 1 species